UCCUUCGUGGUCGAGUGGUGGGAACACUUGCCUCUCACCAUGAGGUCCCAGGUUCGAAUCCUGGUCGAGGGGCUAG